UGUACCCAACCCGGGCCCCCUUCCGUCCCAGUCAGCGCCGCGUCAGCUCCUGGGCCCGCGCGUCAGCCUGCGCGGCUAGCUCUGCCCUUGCAUUUGCUUCUUCCCGGAUAGGAUCACGAAGUGGUGUUGUGAGAUACGACAAGUUCUUCAGCAGCUUUUCAUAGGCGAGCCCACCCCUUCACCUAUUUUACUUUUACAUGCUCUUUUGAUCUAUUGCUAUCCUUAUGUUGCGAUUCUGUUGUGUCACGUGUCCUAUCCACCUGUUACCUAUAUGUCCGAGAUACACCUCCUCGCCCUACCUAUUGUUUGUUGUUUGCCAGCUUUGCGAGUCGUAGGCGUGUUUAGGCUCUGUUGUUUAUCUCGAUCUGUUAUCGGGAUAUGUUGGGUUGUUGGGAGGUUAUCACAUGCUAUAUCAGUUGUUGGAGAUACACAUGCUUUACUUAUUUGUUAACAACUAAAAUUGUAAGCAGAGGCAUCUGUGAGCCCCUUUGCGAAAGCAUCGGAACUUUGACUCGCUAAUGUCCCCUAGGACCCGAGUUCUUGUUAUCUGUUCCGAGAUUGAGCGCUCUACCCAUGCGUGGGGAUUCACUGGGACCCCCCUCACCCAUUACCUUUUCUCAAGUUAGUUGAAAAGGGGGCCACAACCUUGGUUUUAUUUGGCGCAUGCAUGUUUAUAUACUGUUGCCUUCGGGUGUUUACUUCCUGUUGCCUUCGGGUGUUUAUAUUCUGUACUGCACUGCAUAAUUGCUAGACGACUUAUCUAGUGCUUGGCCGUUAGUGCCCGCCUAGAUGCCUACGCAACCUCUGGGUCCGUCUCGGAGUACGGUCGGACUUCGUCACGGGUAGCUUAGUUGGGUGGCCCCCCUAGACUUUCUUGUUGAACUGGGAACGGUCUUGUUGUGAGACAUCCACCUGUCGUAAGUGGGUCGAGCAUGCGUAUGGUUACAUUUGGGCAACCCCUGCAGGGUGUACAUCUUAUCGAUAAGCCGUGUCCGUGGUUAUGGACGACUUGGAAUUGUAUAGCUUGAUCAUAGAACAACUUACACCUUAUUUCCUGUUGCUAAUAAUUUGCUAAUAAAACUCUUUCAAAAGUGUGUGCCUUUGCAAUACCUCUUGGCGAAGGGGGAUCGCAUUGGCUGGGUUAUGUUUGUGUAGUAUUUAUCUGUUACCUUGUGCGCUCUCUUAUCUUCUCUGAGUAGACGGAUGUUGUAGCGUGUCUCUAUUGGAUAGUAGCUUUGCUGCCGCUAAACUCCACAUAUAGCCGGGUGAAGUUUAUACCGCCCACCAGCGAGCAUAGCUAGUCUUGUCUCGCAAGUACGUGCCAAUGGUACUUACCCUCGCCUUCCUUUCUUUUUGUCUCCUCCCCCUUUUGUCGGCAACCGAUGGCCCGACUUUGACAGGUACGAGAUGACGACGUUAGCAAGGUUACCCUUCCGGCUUGGCCUGGGCAGGGUUAUGGACGCCACUGGUUAUCUUCAGGACUCUUAGUCCAAUUUGUAUCUUGUCCGUACUCGGACGUAUUCGAUCUUCUGUAUGAGUUGGAUCUUUGUAUUGUAUAUUUGUAUCUUGACUCGUUGGAGUCGUUGUUGUAUAUAUGUAUCUUGUGGGCUCUAUUGUAAUCCUGUUGUAA